rnacentral:lncRNA from 1 species
AUGAACCUCUUUCUUUUGGCAGUGAAUUUUUUUUAUUAUUUUUUUUAUUUUUUUUUCUUUCUUCCUAAUGGAAAAUUGCCUCCUUACAUAUUGAAAAGAUCUCCAUGGACUUUAAUAUUAAAGUGAAUCAUCUCCAGAAGGAACAUCAAACAAAGCUUGGGUGAGUUUCUUUAUAUUUUCUUCUUGUUCUUCAAUCUUAAAUCUAGGGACUUAGAAAUUAGUAAUCAGAUGUAUACAGUCCCCAGCAGAAUGGGAGCUCAAACUGGAAGAGAAGCUAGCUCUUAAUGCAAUCCGUAAGUUACAGCAAUACCCAAGAGGUGGUCAUGAUGUUGACUAUGCACUGUUAACACCAGCGCAAGAGGAGUUAAGUCAAGUGUUCGCCCAUGGUGGUCCUGGGACCACAGAUAAGCCUGAGUUUGUGGUUAUUCUGCAGAUGGCUUAAAACUGUAAAAAGUUUGGCCAAAAAGUAGGGGUUCUGUUUGCAUUGGUUACAGUAGUAAUGAGAAGAGCAAGAAACAUAUUAUUAUUUUGAUUACACAGUAGUAACUGAGGAAUUACACAAUGUGGUAAUUCAGGAAUGCUUAAAGAGAAAAGGGAACCAUAAUUAACUAGUCUAUCUUGCAACACAGUCCCUUAUUUGAGGAAAUGACAUAAUAAUAUGGGAAUAAUCUCUCCUUACAAACCUAAGUACCAUAGAAACAGUUCUCAGCUCAGACAAUUUUGUUCACCUUAGGAAAAUACUGGCACAAUGCUUUUUGAAGGAAAAAAUAAAUAAUAAAUGGAGAUGGGCUAAACUAUGAUG